rnacentral:rRNA from 1 species
ACAGGUGCUGCAUGGCUGUCGUCAGCUCGUGUUGUGAAAUGUUGGGUUAAGUCCCGCAACGAGCGCAACCCUUAUCCUUUGUUGCCAGCGGUCCGGCCGGGAACUCAAAGGAGACUGCCAGUGAUAAACUGGAGGAAGGUGGGGAUGACGUCAAGUCAUCAUGGCCCUUACGACCAGGGCUACACACGUGCUACAAUGGCGCAUACAAAGAGAAGCGACCUCGCGAGAGCAAGCGGACCUCAUAAAGUGCGUCGUAGUCCGGAUUGGAGUCUGCAACUCGACUCCAUGAAGUCGGAAUCGCUAGUAAUCGUGGAUCAGAAUGCCACGGUGAAUACGUUCCCGGGCCUUGUACACACCGCCCGUCACACCAUGGGAGUGGGUUGCAAAAGAAGUAGGUAGCUUAACCUUCGGGAGGGCGCUUACCACUUUGUGAUUCAUGACUGGGGUGAAGU